GACGAACGCUGGCGGCGUGCUUAACACAUGCCAGUCGAACGGAAAGGCCCUGCUUUUGUUGGUUGCUCGAGUGGCGAACGGGUGAGUAACACGUGAGUAACCUGCUCUUGACUUUGGGAUAACUUCAGGAAACUUGGGCUAAUGCCGGAUAGGAGCUCACGCUGCAUGGUGGGGGUUGGAAAGUUUCGGCGGUUGGGGAUGGACUCGCGGCUUAUCAGCUUGUUGGUGGGGUAGUGGCUUACCAAGGCUUUGACGGGUAGCCGGCCUGAGAGGGUGACCGGCCACAUUGGGACUGAGAUACGGCCCAGACUCCUACGGGAGGCAGCAGUGGGGAAUAUUGCACAAUGGGCGGAAGCCUGAUGCAGCAACGCCGCGUGCGGGAUGACGGCCUUCGGGUUGUAAACCGCUUUCGCCUGUGACGAAGCGUGAGUGACGGUAAUGGGUAAAGAAGCACCGGCUAACUACGUG
rnacentral:rRNA from 1 species